GAUGAACGCUGGCGGCGUGCCUAAUACAUGCAAGUCGAACGCAUAGCGAAAGGUGCUUGCACCUUUCAAGUGAGUGGCGAACGGGUGAGUAACACGUGGACAACCUGCCUCCAGGCUGGGGAUAACAUUUGGAAACAGAUGCUAAUACCGAAUAAAACUUAGUGUCGCAUGACACAAAGUUAAAAGGAGCUUCGGCGUCACCUAGAGAUGGAUCCGCGGUGCAUUAGUUAGUUGGUGGGGUAAAGGCCUACCAAGACAAUGAUGCAUAGCCGAGUUGAGAGACUGAUCGGCCACAUUGGGACUGAGACACGGCCCAAACUCCUACGGGAGGCUGCAGUAGGGAAUCUUCCACAAUGGGCGAAAGCCUGAUGGAGCAACGCCGCGUGUGUGAUGAAGGCUUUCGGGUCGUAAAGCACUGUUGUAUGGGAAGAACAGCUAGAAUAGGAAAUGAUUUUAGUUUGACGGUACCAUACCAGAAAGGGACGGCUAAAUACGUG
rnacentral:rRNA from 1 species